AUUGAACGCUGGCGGCAGGCCUAACACAUGCAAGUCGAACGAGUGGCGGACGGGUGAGUUAUGUCUGGGAAACUGCCUGAUGGAGGGGGAUAACCACUGGAAACGGUAGCUAAUACCGCAUACCAUCAGAUGUGCCCAGAAGGGAUUAGCUUGUUGGUGGGGUAACGGCUCACCAAGGCGACGAACCGUAGCGGGUCUGAGAGGAUGACCAGCCACACUGGAACUGAGACACGGUCCAGACUCCUACGGGAGGCAGCAGUGGGGAAUAUUGGACAAUGGGCGCAAGCCUGAUGCAGCCAUGCCGCGUGUAUGAAGAAGGCCUUCGGGUUGUAAAGUACUUUCAGCGGGGAGGCGUUACCCGCAGAAGAAGCACCGGCUAACUCCGUGCCAGCAGCCGCGGUAAUAC
rnacentral:rRNA from 1 species